CAGGGAGACAACAAAAUGUUUAUAUUAUUAUUUUGUCACCUUAGGUCGAUCGGUAUCUCACGUUCUUAAUUUGUUAAGAAUUUCAUUUCCUAAGUUUUUCUAGGUCACACCCAUUAUUUUUCCUGGGCCAUUAGCUCAGGUGGUUAGAGCGCACCCCUGAUAAGGGUGAGGUCCCUGGUUCAAGUCCAGGAUGGCCCAUAUCUCUAUGUUGGGGGUAUAGCUCAGUUGGUAGAGCGCCUGCUUUGCAAGCAGGAUGUCAGCGGUUCGAGUCCGCUUACCUCCACUGAUUACCACCUCUUCCAUAAUCCGUAGAAAGGAAAUGUUUUGAGUUGUGAUCAUUAUUCUGAACGAAUCUAGCUUCCUAAUGAAAUUAUUAAGAUGCUGGACUCAUUGAAUUAAUUUCAUUGUUUUCAGAGAACCUUGACAACUGCAUAGAUUAUUUUUAAAGACAAUAAGCAUCUUUAAUGAUGCAGAUUUAUUAUUUGUGCGAAUGCAUUAAUAACAAUUCUAUUAAGCUGAUGCUUCAAUUUUUGAAGUUAUU
rnacentral:tRNA from 1 species